rnacentral:rRNA from 1 species
UACGAAGGGGGCUAGCGUUGUUCGGAAUUACUGGGCGUAAAGCGCACGUAGGCGGAUCGAUCAGUCAGGGGUGAAAUCCCAGAGCUCAACUCUGGAACUGCCUUUGAUACUGUCGAUCUAGAGUAUGGAAGAGGUGAGUGGAAUUCCGAGUGUAGAGGUGAAAUUCGUAGAUAUUCGCAAGAACACCAGUGGCGAAGGCGGCUCACUGGCCCGGAACUGACGCUGAGGUGCGAAAGCGUGGGGAGCAAACAGG